rnacentral:rRNA from 1 species
UGUAGCGUACCUACUAGCCUAUGACGGGUACGGGUUGUGAGAGCAAGAGCCCGGAGAUGGAUUCUGAGACACGAAUCCAGGCCCUACGGGGUGCAGCAGGCGCGAAAACUUUACAAUGCUGGCAACAGCGAUAAGGGAACCUCGAGUGCCAGGUUACAAAUCUGGCUGUCGAGAUGCCUAAAAAGCAUUUCAUAGCAAGGGCCGGGCAAGACCGGUGCCAGCCGCCGCGGUAACACCGGCGGCUCGAGUGGUAACCGUUAUUAUUGGGUCUAAAGGGUCUGUAGCCGGCCGGAUAAGUCUCUUGAGAAAUCUGGCAGCUUAACUGUCAGGCUUUCAGGAGAUACUGUCUGGCUCGAGGCCGGGAGAGGUGAGAGGUACUUCAGGGGUAGGGGUGAAAUCUUGUAAUCCUUGAAGGACCACCAGUGGCGAAGGCGUCUCACCAGAACGGACCUGACGGCAAGGGACGAAAGCUAGGGGCACGAACCGGAUUAGAUACCCGGGUAGUCCUAGCCGUAAACGAUACUCGCUAGGUGUCGGCCACGGUGCGACCGUUGUCGGUGCCGUAGGGAAGCCGUGAAGCGAGC